CUAAAUGCACGAUUUUGGUCAUUUAUAAUUUCAGUUGAUAUUUCUUUUCUAUUCUGUGAGGUUUUCCAUUUUCUUCUUCUUCAUUAUGUUUCAAACAAAAAAUCCUCUUCACUGGAUCACUAAAUAGAAAAGAAAAAGUUGACAUUUUUUUCCUUACACACUUGAAAACUUUUAUCCCAUUUCUGAUUCAAUUCUUAAGGAAGUUUUUUAUCUUUGGAUUUCUGGCUUCAUAAGCUUUUGUUGGUGUAGAGUGGAAGAGUUGGUGAUUUGAUGCAGCUUUCUGUUGUAUUUAGAGGGCUGAGAGUCUAUCUUUUUUCGCUCAUUUAUUUAGAGGGCUGACACCCCCCCCCCCCCACAACCUCUAUUUCAUCUGAUUUCACUGAUCUGUUUGAUUUCUCCUAUUCUCUUAUUUCUAUGUAUCUGCACACAUGAAGCUAAUAAUUAUCUUCAUUUAGGCAAAACCUGAUACAAAAUCUAAAGAGGUCAAGUAAAGAUUGUUGAUCCAAAGAAAGAUGAGGAAGAGGAUGAAUAAUGAGAGGAUGUGUCUGGCUACGAAGAUGAUCUUAUAAGUUCUGAUGGAGUAUUGUUCUCACUCUGGGUUUAAAUCUCUUUUUUUCGUAGUUUAUUACUGUAUGUGUGGGAUUUCAAGAUGCUUUUUUUUUUUUAAAUUCAAUGUUCCCAAGAUCAAACAGAAUGCUUUUACAAAAGAUAUUGGUAAUGAAGUUACCUUUCCUUUUGAUUUUAAGUUCUUCUAAUGUCCAGUUUGAAUCUAAGUUGGAGGUUUGGAUGUGGGCUAUUAUAAAAUUCAUCAUAAAUAGAUGUCUGCAAAAGUAUUAUUUGCUUCAUUAAUUUAAUCUCUCCUUCCCAUAAUCCCAUUGGCACAGUUGCAGUUUAUCUAUUACAGCAUCUAGCAAACAUGUGUUUUUGGGACUGGGAGAUUCAGUCCUCAAAUUCUCUUUUUUUCUUCAAAUUUACCACUGAACAAAUGGUUUCUUAUAAUAAUAUGCAUAAAAGACAAAUCUCAAUCAAUCUUGAUGAAUAUUGUUCUGUUUAGAGUAGACACAAGGAAAAGAAAAUAAAGACCACUUGAUGUGUUUUUGAAGAUUCGAGGAAUGUAGUGUGUCAUUUUGAAACUUGUGUGUAAAAACAAAUGUUUCUCUUUCUUGAUAAAUAGGGAAUAUUAUACUACUUCUGUCUAUGUUGAUGAUCAUUAUAUCUUCAUCUUCACAUGUCACUCUUUCUUGUGUUUAUCUUCUCUAGCCUUAUUUUUCAUUACUUCUCUAGCCUGAUUUUCCAUUGCAUGAUGCAGGGAGACUGUCAAAAUUAUUUUUAGUCCUCACUUUGAGAAAUGUAAGUUGUAGUUGGAUCAACUUUUACCUUGAAAAUGAUAAUAGAGUUCUUAUUUGUUAACUGGUUUGUAUAUUGCAACCUUUUUGUGUUUCUUCAACCUUCUCUUUAUCUUGCUUUUUAGUUUAUUGGCAUUCUUACAUGUGUUUGAAUUAGCAAUCUGGUUUCAGGACUCGAGUAUGUACCAUUUUAGCAUGUUUCACGCCUCGCACCAUAUUGUACUUGUACCUGCCUGCCAGCAAAGAAGAGAUAGAAGUUGAAGCAUCUUCUGUGAAGGGGGGUUUCUGUGCAAAGGGAAGAGUUUAAUUGAUGAGUGUGAGGUUGAUUUAUUGCUUUUAAAAAGUCAAUUUAUGAGACGGAGCAUUCAAGGGAGUUCAAGUGAUUUGGUUACCGGAUAUAUGGACUAUGGGGUGGAUGCCAUCAUAGAGCAGUGAAGAGGAAAAGAAGUAGGAACAAACUUCUACCAG